UACGUAGGUGGCAAGCGUUGUCCGGAUUUACUGGGUGUAAAGGGCGUGUAGGCGGAUUUGAAAGUCAGGCGUGAAAUACCGCAGCUUAACUGCGGGGCUGCGCUUGAAACUUCAAACCUUGAGUGCUGGAGAGGGAAGCGGAAUUCCUAGUGUAGCGGUGAAAUGCAUAGAUAUUAGGAGGAACACCAGUGGCGAAGGCGGCUUUCUGGACGGUAACUGACGCUGAGGCGCGAAAGUGUGGGGAGCAAAC
rnacentral:rRNA from 1 species